rnacentral:rRNA from 1 species
UACGAGGGGGGGCGAGCGUUGUUCGGAAUUACUGGGCGUAAAGCGCGCGUAGGCGGCUUUGUAAGUUAGAGGUGAAAGCCCGGAGCUCAACUUCGGAAUUGCCUUUAAGACUGCAUCGCUUGAAUCAUGGAGAGGUCAGUGGAAUUCCGAGUGUAGAGGUGAAAUUCGUAGAUAUUCGGAAGAACACCAGUGGCGAAGGCGACUGACUGGACAUGUAUUGACGCUGAGGUGCGAAAGCGUGGGGAGCAAACAGG